rnacentral:rRNA from 1 species
CAGUAGCCACGGUAAUACGGAGGGUGCAAGCGUUAAUCGGAAUUACUGGGCGUAAAGCGCACGCAGGCGGUCUGACAAGUCAGAUGUGAAAUCCCCGGGCUUAACCUGGGAACUGCAUUUGAAACUGUCAGGCUGGAGUCUUGUAGAGGGGGGUAGAAUUCCAGGUGUAGCGGUGAAAUGCGUAGAGAUCUGGAGGAAUACCGGUGGCGAAGGCGGCCCCCUGGACAAAGACUGACGCUCAGGUGCGAAAGCGUGGGGAGCAAACAGGAUUAGAUACCCCGGUAGUCCCUGUCUCUUAUAU